AUAAGCUGGGACUGAUCAGCCUACUGCUCUUUUCACUUCACGCAGCAAGUUCCUGCCUCUUGGUGUAAGCAACAAGCAGUGUCUUUCACCAGCAAAGCACAAUGGGACUGUAAUCAUUGCUGUCCUGUGUAUCGGCUCAUCUAUCACUGACAAGUCAUAUCUGCUACCACUAUCCACAAGCAUCAAGCUGUCUGUUCCAGCGUGUCCACAGCUUACGAUCAAUAUACAUCAAGAAAUCAGAGAGGAGAAAUGGAUCAAAAGAAAAGAAGUCAAACUGCUAAUGCACCAAACAAAAAGAGCAAUGAAGUCAAACUAAAACAUUUCAGAGAAAAUACAAAUAUUGGAAUGCGGAGAUGCUCCACUUCAUCUGGCAGACUGAUGCAAG